UGGGGAAUAUUGGACAAUGGGCGAAAGCUUGAUCCAGCCAUGCCGCGUGUGUGAAGAAGGUCUUCGGAUUGUAAAGCACUUUAAGUUGGGAGGAAGGGCAGUAAGCGAAUACCUUGCUGUUUUGACGUUACCGACAGAAUAAGCACCGGCUAACUCUGUGCCAGCAGCCGCGGUAAUACAGAGGGUGCAAGCGUUAAUCGGAAUUACUGGGCGUAAAGCGCGCGUAGGUGGUUCGUUAAGUUGAAUGUGAAAGCCCCGGGCUCAACCUGGGAACUGCAUCCAAAACUGGCGAGCUAGAGUAGGGCAGAGGGUGGUGGAAUUUCCUGUGUAGCGGUGAAAUGCGUAGAUAUAGGAAGGAACACCAGUGGCGAAGGCGACCACCUGGGCUCAUACUGACACUGAGGUGCGAAAGCGUGGGGAGCAAACAGG
rnacentral:rRNA from 1 species